CGGGACCUGGUUGGGGAGGGGGUCGCGAUGGGCGGGGCGGAGCUUGUGUGGUCAUCCUGGCACAUUGGAUCUCCGGCAGUUUUGCAGAACACUGAUAUCUAUGGAUUCUAACAUGGACUUCAUUUAAAGAAAUCCACGGACCGUUAAUGGACAAAAACAUGCAUCAAUUUGUAUUGUGGCAUUCAAAUCCUAGCACUUUGGGAAAGCGUCAAGUACAAGGUUUUGAAGAUCCUGGGGCCUACCAUCAUUACGCAUGCAAGAUGUGAGUUUGAAUAACUUCGUCAAGACUUAGAGCCUCUUCAAAAGCCUCAAGUCUCAUCAGCAUUAAAGCUCUCCAUUGAACCCUCUCACAAAAGUCAAAGCUUAAAGGGACUAAAAUCCAUUAAUACAUUCCAUUUCGUAUCUUUCCUCUGAUUUCUCUUCAAUUUCUUUGGCCUUUAGGGUGUUUCAUAUUGCUUAUGUUCCUUUAGACUGGAGCCAAAGAAACAGUGCUUUUCAAAAGAAUAUAUGUCCUGUGGCCAUAAAUUUUCAUUGGUAGAGAAGCAUAAAUUUGGCAUAAGUUUAGAAUCAGGUCUUUUGUUGUAUCCUAUAAAAACCUGAGUCAAUAAUAAGAUGAGGAUGAAGUGGUAAAAAUAUUUGUGGUCAGAUUCUACUCUCAGAGGUUAUGUGGUUUAGAGAAAAGAGCCCUCAACCUAAAAGUUAAUGGUUCUUAUUCUCUCUGCCUGUUACUAGAUAUUUGCUAACUGAGAAAGUCACUUAACCUGUCUCAACCUUAACUUCAUCUGUAAAGUAAAUCUGAUAAUAAUUUCCCUCCCUACCUCACAGGGUUGUUGUGAGGAUCAAAUGAAAUAAUGUACAUAAAAAGGAGUUUUCUAUAAAAUGUGCAGUAUAGACCCAGGGUCCUGUUACAUAGCUGUGAGUCACUCCCUCAGCUCUUGGGCCUGGCAAGCUAGGUGAUUUAAGCACCCUGAAAGCAGCCACCAUGUCCAGGCUGGAUACUUGGUAACCAGGCUGUGUUAAUUUUUGUUUUCUGUGAGUACAUAGAACACAUUUGCAGGCUAAUUCUAAGAAGGAGGAAGACUAUCAAUUUCCCUAAAAUUAUAAGUUAUUGUGGAUAAUGCUCUAGAGCAGUUAUGUAUUCUAACAUAUUCAUGGUUUGCAAAAUUUAUUUACUAAGUUGUGACCAGGACGUUUUUUUGAAAUGAAAGAACAUAGAGCAGAAAAUUGCACAAUGCAUCCCACAUGGUAAGACUAAAUAUUGUUUUAGUUAUAUAUAUGUGUGAAUGUGUGUGUUUGUACUUGUGUACCUGGUCCUUAAAUAAAAUGCAUUUUUUCCUACAAGUUGCA